rnacentral:lncRNA from 12 species
GAAUCACUGGGGAUUCAGAGAGCUUCUACUAUUUCCACAGUCAUGGAAACUCAGGGGAAUCUGACAGGCUUUGAGGCCUCUCAAAGACUGUGCUAGGGCUAGGAUUAGGGUUAGGGUUAGGGUUAGGGUUAGGCUAGGGCUAGGGUUAGGGUUAGGGUUAGGGUUAGGGUUAGGGUUAGGGUUAGUGUUAGGGUUAGGGUUAGGGUUAGGGUUAGGGUUAGGCUUAGGUUUUGGGUUAGGGUUUGGGUUUGGGUUAGAAUUAGAUUGUAGGGUUAGGGUUAGGAUUAGGGUUAGGGUUAGGGUUAGGGUUAGGGUUAGGGUUAGGGUUAGGUUAGGGUUAGGGUUAGGGUUAGGGUUAGGGUUAUGGUUAGGGUUAGGGUUAGGUUUAGGGCUAGGUGCCUUAUAAGAUUGCUCUCAAAGUUGCUAUUAGAUUAUGUGUGAUAGAAGGAAAUGUGCUGCCCCAAAGAUUGGGGGUAGUAAACAUAAUUAUGUUUAGUGUUC